AACGAACGCUGGCGGCAGGCUUAACACAUACAAGUCGAGCGCCCCGCAAGGGGAGCGGCAGACGGGUGAGUAACGCGUGGGAAUCUACCCAUCUCUGCGGAAUAACGCAUGGAAACGUGUGCUAAUACCGUAUACGUCCUUCGGGAGAAAGAUUUAUCGGAGAUGGAUGAGCCCGCGUUGGAUUAGAUAGUUGGUGGGGUAAAGGCCUACCAAGGCGACGAUCCAUAGCUAGUCUGAGAGGAUGAUCAGCCACACUGGGACUGAGACACGGCCCAGACUCCUACGGGAGGCAGCAGUGGGGAAUAUUGGACAAUGGGCGCAAGCCUGAUCCAGCCAUGCCGCGUGAGUGAUGAAGGCCCUAGGGUUGUAAAGCUCUUUCACCGGUGAAGAUAAUGACGGUAACCGGAGAAGAAGCCCCGGCUAACUUCGUGCCAGCCGCCGCAGUAACAC
rnacentral:rRNA from 1 species